GAACCGUGCGAACGUUGUUCGGAAUCACUGGGCUUAAAGGGCGCGUAGGCGGCCCGCCAAGUCCGGGGUGAAAUCUUCCGGCUCAACCGGAAAAGUGCCCCUGAUACGGGCGGGCUCGAGGGAGGUAGGGGCAGGCGGAACUUCCGGUGGAGCGGUGAAAUGCGUAGAGAUCGGAAGGAACGCCGGUGGCGAAAGCGGCCUGCUGGACCUCCGCUGACGCUGAGGCGCGAAAGCCAGGGGAGCGAACGGGAUUAGAUACCCCGGUAGUCCUGGCCGUAAACGAUGGGUACUAGGUAGUGGGCUGACAUGGGCUCACUGCCGAAGCAAAAGUGGUAAGUACCCCGCCUGGGGAGUAUGGUCGCAAGGCUGAA
rnacentral:rRNA from 1 species